rnacentral:rRNA from 1 species
UACAGAGGAUGCAAGCGUUAUCCGGAAUGAUUGGGCGUAAAGCGUCUGUAGGUGGCUUUUUAAGUCCGCCGUCAAAUCCCAGGGCUCAACUCUGGACAGGCGGUGGAAACUGCCAAGCUGGAGUACGGUAGGGGCAGAGGGAAUUUCCGGUGGAGCGGUGAAAUGCGUAGAGAUCGGGAAGAACACCAGCGGCGAAGGCGCUCUGCUGGGCCGACACUGACACUGAGAGACGAAAGCGAGGGGAGCGAAUGGG